GAUGAACGCUAGCUACAGGCUUAACACAUGCAAGUCGAGGGACCGGCGCACGGGUGAGUAACACGUAUCCAACCUGCCCUUUACUCGGGGAUAGCCUUUCGAAAGAAAGAUUAAUACCCGAUAUAAAGGAUGGGGAUGCGUUCCAUUAGGUUGUUGGUGAGGUAACGGCUCACCAAGCCUUCGAUGGAUAGGGGUUCUGAGAGGAAGGUCACCCACAGUGAGACUGAGCGCAGGUCCAAAAGCCGACGGGAGGCAGCAGUGAGGAAUAUGUGUCAAUGGUCGAUAGCCUGAACCAGCCAAGUAGCUGGAAGGAUGAAGGCUUAUGGGUCUUAAACUUCUUUUAUAUAAGAAUAUGUAUUAGAUGAAUAAUGAUCGGCUAACUCCGUGCCAGCAGCCGCGGUAAUUC
rnacentral:rRNA from 1 species